GACGAACGCUGGCGGCGCGCCUAACACAUGCAAGUCGAACGAGCGAGAGAGAGCUUGCUUUCUCGAGCGAGUGGCGAACGGGUGAGUAACGCGUGAGGAACCUGCCUCAAAGAGGGGGACAACAGUUGGAAACGACUGCUAAUACCGCAUAAGCCCACGGCUCGGCAUCGAGCAGUGGGAAAAGGAGCAAUCCGCUUUGAGAUGGCCUCGCGUCCGAUUAGCUAGUUGGUGGGGUAACGGCGCACCAAGGCGACGAUCGGUAGACGGACUGAGAGGUUGAACCGCCACAUUGGGACUGAGACACGGCCCAGACUCCUACGCGAGGCAGCAGUGGGGAAUAUUGCAAAAUGGGGGAAACCCUGAUGCAGCGACGCCGCGUGGAGGAAGAAGGUCGUCGGAUUGUAAACUCCUGUUGUUGGGGAAGAUAAUGACGGUACCCAACAAGGAAGUGACGGCUAACUACGUG
rnacentral:rRNA from 1 species